ACACGACUACAUUAGAUACCCGGGUAGUCCUAGCCGUAAACGAUACUCGCUAGGUGUCGGCCACGGUGCGACCGUUGUCGGUGCCGUAGGGAAGCCGUGAAGCGAGCCACCUGGGAAGUACGGCCGCAAGGCUGAAACUUAAGGAAUUGGCGGGGGAGCACAACAACGGGUGGAGCUUGCGGCUUAAUUGGAUUCAACGCCGGAAAUCUUACCGGGACCGACAGCAACAUGAAGGCCAAGCUGAAGACUUUGCCGGAUUAGCUG
rnacentral:rRNA from 1 species